GAGCUGAGUUAAUUUAAUUUUAAUUUAAUGAAAUAAAGAAUUUAUAUGAGCACUUGUCUACUAAGCAACUUGAUGACAUGAUUUAAUGUAUGAAAGAAUUGUUGGAAGAGAACUCUACCAAGAAUGGUUUGAUACAGGUAGUAGCAAGUCUGUCAUUUAUGAUGGGAAAGUAGAAAAAGUCAAUAAAAGAAAAGAAGACAGAAUUUAUACUAUUUCCUUCUGAAAAAAAGAUGAAACUGUUGACCAUUGCAUGUAAAAAUUUCAACUUGCUGCUGAUAUUGUAUCAGGAGAGUUGAUAUUUUCUUAAUUUAAUAUGCUUUAAUGUUACUUAAUAUUAUUGUGCUUUAAUGUUAUUGUCUAAUAGAAAAAGAAGUAUUGCAUGUGGUGUGACUUGCAAUAAGGUAUUGAAAAAAAAGAUGCUUUGUUGCAUCUAAUGUGACAACUGAUAUACAGAAAGAAUGGCAUCAUCUUAUGUGGUAAAAUAAUGCAUCUUGUAACGUGGUUGGAGGGCGUUGUGGCACACCCCACUUCCCUUGAUUCUAAAUGUGCACUACUAGUGUAAAGACGAG
rnacentral:lncRNA from 1 species